GAAAAGUUAGCUAAUAUAGUAUUGAUUUUGUAAAUCAAAGAUUUUUUCUUUUCG
rnacentral:tRNA from 1 species